AUUGAACGCUGGCGGCAUGCUUUACACAUGCAAGUCGAACGGUAACAGGCCGCAAGGUGCUGACGAUUGGCGAACGGGUGAGUAAUGCAUCGGAACGUGCCCAGUCGUGGGGGAUAACUACUCGAAAGAGUAGCUAAUACCGCAUACGAUCUAUGGAUGAAAGCGGGGGACCGUAAGGCCUCGCGCGAUUGGAGCGGCCGAUGUCAGAUUAGGUAGUUGGUGGGGUAAAGGCUCACCAAGCCAACGAUCUGUAGCUGGUCUGAGAGGACGACCAGCCACACUGGGACUGAGACACGGCCCAGACUCCUACGGGAGGCAGCAGUGGGGAAUUUUGGACAAUGGGCGCAAGCCUGAUCCAGCAAUGCCGCGUGCAGGAAGAAGGCCUUCGGGUUGUAAACUGCUUUUGUACGGAACGAAACGGCUCUGGUUAAUACCCGGGGCUAAUGACGGUACCGUAAGAAUAAGCACCGGCUAACUACGUG
rnacentral:rRNA from 1 species